CCCCCUUGGCUCGGACGCAACCACUGUCAGCUCCUCCCCCUCCUCCUCCUUCAUCCUUCCUGACAUUCACUCCCUUCCCCCAGCCAAUUGGUUACGUCAGGCAGACAGGCCGAAGAACCAAUCACGACGCUGUGCUCAGAAGCCGCCACGCGGAACCGGCCGGAUCCGACUAAUAGGGGCCCUUGGAGCGGCCACGCCUCAACCGGGCAGGGUAGCUUGGGCCCAGUGGGCGGUGCUUCUCCUGUCAGCAUGUGGGCGGGGUAGGGCGGGGACCAGCAGCCGCAGAGCCGUCCUCGGCGGUGGCGACGACGACGACGUUGCUCAGUCUUGGGGUGGGCUCCGCGGUGCAGGCCGAGCUGCGCGGAGGGCUCGGCGAUCAGCGGCGGCGGCGGCAGUGGGGAGGCCGCAGCGCCAUGGGGGGGCGUUAGACAGGCUGCGGCGGCCGAGGCGAGGGGCGGCAGCGGUUAUCUGGUCCGCGGCGACCUUCGGCCGGGCCCGGGGGUGGGAAGGCCUGGGGCGGGGGUCGUCCCUGGUUGCACGGGGCCGCGGGGCGGGGCUCGCCGGCCGUCGGGGUGCAGGAGGCCUGGGCCGCUGAAAGGAGAAGGCGCCGUCGGUCGCCAGGCCCUGCCGCCGGGCCGCUUGACGACGACGCUCCCGCGGGGGCCCCGCCUGAGGAGGACGCGGCGGCGGUGGCGGCGAGGCCGCGGGAGGCCGCGGAGGAUGGAGGAGCGGAAGGAGGAGGGCGAGGCCGAGAUCCAGGAGCACGGGCCCGAGCACUGGUUCUCCAAGUGGGAGCGGCAGUGCCUGGCCGAGGCCGAACAGGACGAGCAGCUGCCCCCCGAGCUGCAGGAGGAGGCGGCGGCCGC
rnacentral:lncRNA from 1 species